rnacentral:rRNA from 1 species
AUGGAGCAGAUGAAGGUGGUGCAUGAGGCCACUCAGGUUGCCUACAACGCCAGCACCACUCUACAAGCCAACGUCAAGAAGUCUUGUGAUCUUGGAGCCCAAUUUUCUGAACUGGAGAAGAAGCAGAUAAGCCUCAACCUUGAUCUGGAACUGGCCAAGAAGAACCUCAAGAAGGCCCAGGACGAAGCAGCUAUCAUGGGAGAUAAAAUGAAGCAGGCUCUGGAGAAGAAGGAUCAGGAUCUUACCGCAACCCAGAAGGAGGCGCGAGAGAAAACGACACUUGCGGACAAGAAGUUGGCCUCGGUCAACAAGUUGGAAGAGGAGAACUCCAAGUUGAAGACUGCCGUUUCUGAAGCUAACCAGGAGGUUGCGCGACUGAAGAAAGACAAGGAAAGCUUGACUGACGAAGUUGGGAGUCUCAAGGCCAAGAAGGGCGAAUUGGAGUCUUAUCUGGGGCAGCUUGCUGGAAGUUGGUCUUAA